CUGGCGGAAUGCUUUACACAUGCAAGUCGAGCGGCAGCGCGGGGCAACCCGGCGGCGAGCGGCGAACGGGUGAGUAAUGCAUCGGAACGUGUCCACGUCGUGGGGGAUAGCCCGGCGAAAGCCGGAUUAAUACCGCAUACGCCCGAGAGGGGAAAGUGGGGGACUCGCAAGGGCCUCGCGCGAUUGGGUCGGCCGAUGUCCGAUUAGCUAGUUGGCGGGGUAAAGGCCCACCAAGGCGAUGAUCGGUAGCUGGUCUGAGAGGAUGAUCAGCCACACUGGGACUGAGACACGGCCCAGACUCCUACGGGAGGCAGCAGUGGGGAAUUUUGGACAAUGGGGGCAACCCUGAUCCAGCCAUUCCGCGUGAGUGAAGAAGGCCUUCGGGUUGUAAAGCUCUUUUGUCCGGAACGAAACGGGUAACGUGAAUAUCGUUGCCUACUGACGGUACCGGAAGAAUAAGCACCGGCUAACUACGUGCCAGCAGCCGCGGUAAUACGUAGGGUGCGAGCGUUAAUCGGAAUUACUGGGCGUAAAGCGUGCGCAGGCGGUUAUAUAAGACAGAUGUGAAAUCCCCGGGCUCAACCUGGGACCUGCAUUUGUGACUGUAUAGCUAGAGUACGGUAGAGGGGGAUGGAAUUCCGCGUGUAGCAGUGAAAUGCGUAGAUAUGCGGAGGAACACCGAUGGCGAAGGCAAUCCCCUGGACCUGUACUGACGCUCAUGCACGAAAGCGUGGGGAG
rnacentral:rRNA from 1 species